rnacentral:lncRNA from 1 species
UUUUUCCUUAUAACCAUUUGGUAUUCGAAAAUUAUUGGCUCGUCUAAUUAAAAUUCGUGCUGGGUAAGAUUCAUAAGAGGUAAAGUUCUCCAUUGAGAGUUCUUUAUUUUUAGAAUAAAAAUUUCAUAAGGCACCCUAUUUCGUCACUUUUAUUUACCUUAUGGCUUAUACUCACUUUUUUUAAAAAAAAAUAAUUGAUAUUUAAAUUUUUGGUAACUUCAUAUACAUACAAUUUUCUCUUCUUCUUAAUUUGCAACACAUCAAUGUAUGCUUAAGGUUUCUCUUUCUUGUUCUUCUUAAUUUGCAAAAUACCAUUGUAGGUUAUGCUUAGGAUUUCUUUUUCUUUUUCUUAGUUCCAAAAUAAGUUUAUUAUAUUUAUUGUUGUUUUGAUAAUUUGAUAAUUGGAGUUUAUUUUUUAUGAUAUUUAAAAGUUAUAUUUCAAAUUUAAACUUAUUUAGAGUUGAUUUGGCCAUUGAAUCGUGUGUUGAGUUAUUGAAAUUCGAAGAAUAAGUUUAUGUUUGUGAUGAACCGAUAGGUCAUCUAGAGUUUUAAACCCUAAUUCGUGUUUCAAACCUCACAAACCUCAUUUUAGCCUUCCUCAAUUUAUGUCCGCAGUUCGGGUGUUUUUCGGAAAUCUUUUAUGCUAAAAACUGAAAAAAUAUGAAAUUUUGCCUUAAAAUCCAUAUGAGUUGAUUUCGCUUAACGUUUUGAGUAAACGGAUUCGGAUCCGUGUGUUGACGGUCCCGGUGGAUCCAUAUCAUGAUUUAGGACUUGGGCGUAUGCCCGAAAUCAUUCGAAGGUCCCUAGCUCGAGUUAUCACUUUUUUUCCAAAAUUUGAAAGUUUAAAGACUUAAUGAAUCUAAAAGUUUGAUCAAUGUUUGACUUUGUUGAUAUCGGGAUCUGUAUUUUGGUUCUGAAAUUCGAAAUAGGUCCAUUACUUUAUUUAUGAAUUGUCUGUCAAAUUUGGGGAGAAACGGAAUUGGUUUGGCGUGAUUCAGACGUCCGGUUGUUAAAAUAGUAAUUCUAAACUUUUCUUAAAAAAUCAUUUGAUUUUGGUGUUCGGUUCAUGGUCUUAGGUGUUAUUUGGGUGAUUUGAUCGCGCAAGCAAGUUCAUAUGAUGUUUUUAGACUUGUGUGCAUGUUUGGUUUGGAGCUCCGAAGGCUUGGGUGAGUUUCAGAUAGGCUGCAGAGUGAGUUUGGACUUAGAAACGUAGCUGAUGCAUUUAGUUUCUGGUGCCUGUUGGAGAUUUGGCCUCGCAUUUGCGAAGAACCAUCACAUUUGUGAGCAUGGACAUGGCAGGGGACACUCGUAUUUGCGAAGUAAAAGUUCGCAUUUACGAAUAUUCCAUUUCCGCUUUUGCGAAGGUAGAGUCGCAUUUGCGACUCAACACCUUUUGUGAUGAUUUUUGCAUUUGCAAAGAAAGGUCUGCAUCUGCAAGGACAUCAGAGUUCGCAUUUGCUUACCAUUUCAUCGCAAAUGCGAUUACUAGGAUUCUGAGAGGAGUUCGCAAUUGCGACAUCUUUCUCGCAAUUGCGAACAAGAUAUCACAAUUGCGACAUCUGCAACUGCGUAAAAGUUGAGUUAUACAUAUUUGUCAUUAAUCUCAAGCUUCCUAUCUAUUUCCUUCUCUAGCCUCCUUUAUUUCAUUCAUAUUUAAUAAAAUUUUGUCAUCAUCACAAAUUUUUCAAUUAAUAUAGCUUUUUUUCCUUGUGAGUAAUUUCAGCUACAUCUAUAGAUGAAAAUAGCUAGCUUAUGCCUUUGUUGAUGUAGAUAUGGUAACCAAGCAUUUGUAGAGAAGGUUGUUCUUUAUCUAUUUUCGAUUUAUCUUUGUCAUUGUUGCAUUUUUUUUUGAACAAUGGCCUUGUUGUGGUGAUGAUACGGUGGUGUGAGCCAUGGCUUAUUGGCUUUUGAUGUUUUUAUUUCUUUCUGGGAUUAAAUCACUUGGGAUCCUAAUUUUUGGGUUGAAUUGUGUGUUCUAGUUUUUCGGGUGGUCCAUGGAGAAGGAGAUGGAGGUGGAAGAGAUGGAGUUGGAGAAGAUGAGGGUAUAUGUGUAAUUUUAUAUUUUUCUCUUUUUAUUUGUGUUAAUAACACGCGUCACGACCUUAUUGGUGCGCGUGACAUUACUCAUAUUUAGGUAAAGUGGUCAAAAAAAAAGUUGUGUGUCUUACACACUUUUAAAAGGUUGAGUGGGUAACAUUAUUUUUGCCCACAUAAAGUGGGUAACGGGAAUUUGAUUCAUAGUUCGGGUGCCAACAUGUGUAUUUUGACUUUUGGUAAAAUAAAGCAUUUUAUAAUUAGUUAAAGCACUCAACAGGCUAAAGCCAGUAGACUUCACAAAUUCUAUCAAGGUCUCUACUCUAUACUUUAUAGAGAUGUAAUACAAAAGCUUCUAAAUCGAGAUUAAAAACCAUGCACCAACUUCCUUUUCUCAGAUUAAUUCUUCAUAGCGGGAUUACUCUAUUAUAGAGCAAAAUUUAAAAAGAAAAUACAACUACAAGCGAUUAAUAAAAUAAAGUUAUAGCUUCUUUUAAUACAAUAUGUCUUCAAGCUAUUAGCUUGAAUUACCAUAUUGUACCUCUACUGUACGGGGCCAGGUUUAUCUAAACUUAUAUCAUUACUAUAAGAGAACUACAAGCAACUACUGUUAUUCACUAACAUUUGAACUUCUACGAUUUAUCCCAAUUUAUACCAUUAAUCAUCUUAAGAAUCAAGAAACUGGAAUUCUCACUUUACUAUGUCUUCCUAGGCCUUCCUAGACCUCGACCAUUUUGUUUCUUCUUUGACUUCUUAGAUACUCCCAACUUCUUCAAAAUUGUAGUACCUGGUUUGGCCUCGUCGUCGUUGCCCUUGGGGAUCCUCCCACGAUGCUUUUGUAUUUGUUGCUUUAAGUGCACCUCAUGCUGAGAAUCAUUCGAACAUAACACCUCCUCAUUUGAUCUUUUAUCAGGCAACGCCUCCUCAUUUGUUGUCAGCACCGAAACUGUACUAGUACCUAGUUUGGCCUCAUCCUCCUUGUACUUAGGAGGCCUCUGACGAAGCUGACGUU